rnacentral:rRNA from 1 species
UACGAAGGGGGCUAGCGUUGCUCGGAUUGACUGGGCGUAAAGGGCGCGUAGGCGGUUUGCAUAGUCAGACGUGAAAUUCCUGGGCUUAACCUGGGGGCUGCGUUUGAUACAUGCAGGCUUGAGUUCGGAAGAGGGUCGUGGAAUUCCCAGUGUAGAGGUGAAAUUCGUAGAUAUUGGGAAGAACACCGGUGGCGAAGGCGGCGACCUGGUCCGAUACUGACGCUGAGGCGCGGAAGCGUGGGGAGCAAACAGG